rnacentral:rRNA from 1 species
UACGUAGGUGGCACGCGUUGUCCGGAUUUAUUGGGUUUAAAGGGUGCGUAGGCGGUUCUAUAAGUCAGUGGUGAAAUCCGGCAGCUUAACUGUCGAUGUGCCAUUGAUACUGCAGGACUUGAGUACAGACGAGGUAGGCGGAAUUGACGGUGUAGCGGUGAAAUGCUUAGAUAUCGUCAAGAACACCGAUAGCGAAGGCAGCUUACUAGACUGUAACUGACGCUGAUGCACGAAAGUGUGGGGAUCAAACAGG